rnacentral:rRNA from 1 species
UGGGGAAUAUUGCACAAUGGGCGCAAGCCUGAUGCAGCCAUGCCGCGUGUAUGAAGAAGGCCUUCGGGUUGUAAAGUACUUUCAGCGGGGAGGAAGGUGUUGAGGUUAAUAACCUCAGCAAUUGACGUUACCCGCAGAAGAAGCACCGGCUAACUCCGUGCCAGCAGCCGCGGUAAUACGGAGGGUGCAAGCGUUCAUCGGAAUUACUGGGCGUAAAGCGCACGCAGGCGGUCUGUCAAGUCGGAUGUGAAAUCCCCGGGCUCAACCUGGGAACUGCAUUCGAAACUGGCAGGCUAGAGUCUUGUAGAGGGGGGUAGAAUUCCAGGUGUAGCGGUGAAAUGCGUAGAGAUCUGGAGGAAUACCGGUGGCGAAGGCGGCCCCCUGGACAAAGACUGACGCUCAGGUGCGAAAGCGUGGGGAGCAAACA